UACGGGGGGAGCAAGCGUUGUUCGGAUUUACUGGGCGUAAAGGGCGCGUAGGCGGCCACCGCAAGUCGACUGUGAAAUCUCCGGGCUUAACCCGGAAAGGUCAGCCGAUACUGCGGGGCUAGAGUGCAGAAGGGGCAACUGGAAUUCUCGGUGUAGCGGUGAAAUUCGUAGAUAUCGGGAGGAACACCGGUGGCGAAGGCGGCGACCUGGGUAGAUACUGACGCUGAGGUGCGAAAGCGUGGGGAGCAAACAGG
rnacentral:rRNA from 1 species